UCUGCCCCUCCCUGUCUCACACUCUGUCUCUCACUCUCACAAAAAUAAAUAUUAAAUUUUUUAAAAAAGGUGAAUAAAUUCUGCACAUGUAAUGUAUCGUAUGGUGAAAGUAGUUGAUACUCUAUUGUAUAAUUGAAAUUUGCUUAAAGAGAUCUUAAGCAUUCUUACUAAAAAAAAAAAAAGUGAGUACGUGAGGGGCAGGUGCAUUCAUUCACUUGAUGGGGGGAUUCCUUUCACAGCGUACUUGUACUCCCAACCAUCACGGGGCACACUUUAAGUACCUUAUUUUAUUUCCCGAUUACAGCUCCAUAAAGAUGGGGCCGGAAGGAGAGGGGUGGGGUGAGAAUACCUGACUCACAGAGCUGGAUAAUGAUGGAAGGUGCGAGUACUGGCUUUACAACGCUCAGUCUAGCAUCUGACUCACCAUGUAGGAUAAUGAGAUCGCAGUGAUAAUGAUUAUUUUCUCCCCCGAUAUCCCGCCCACACCUGUCUCCCUCUGUAGCAGAUGAUGCUGAUACUCCUUCCCUGCUCCCCCAGAUCCCUUUGCCGUUUUUAUGCACUCUGGAUCGUGGUUUCCUGCCUUAACCCUGGCUGCCCGUGUGUGCCACCUUCUCCAUCUCCUGCACUUUCCCGUGGCAUUGAGCAAAAGACACUCGUGUUCUGUCCUUUUCUUCUCAUGCCUUCUUCCCCCGUGCCCUCUACAAUAUCGUUUCCACGCUCGUACUUAUGUGAGAGUCUGCUUCUAGCAGCCCUGAAUCCAACACACCCUCAAACACAGCAAUCUAUCAGCGCAUCACCAGGGACGUGAGACACAGGGCAAGAGCAGCUCUUCCCGGACUAGCAAGGCCCCGAAUGGACGCAGAGAAGCUUCAACCUUCCUCUAGCCUAGAUUUCUCUCCCACAGCAGCUCACUAGAAAUGAGAAGUAAACUAUUACAAGACUUCCCUCUUCCUAUGGCCCCACACCCAUCGAUCUGAGCUCACCCUGAGAUGUCCACAUAUCCUGGCCAAAUUUCACAUCCCUGUUUACAAGUUGCCAGAAUAAACUACAAAGAGUCUCUGGUGUUGGUGUGAAGGAAUCAGACGAGCAAAGGGAUACAGCUUGACAUGGGGCGUAAAUAAAGUCACAGGCACAGAAGAGAAGACUGGCCUCGUAUGCGGGCUGGGGACAUCCUGUCUGAGCUUAAAGGCUUUAUUCUGUUUAGAAUCGCGGCGGUAUAAAUUUGAACUCAGAAAGCACAUCUUAAGAAGACACCCACUAGGGUGUCUAUAAUAAAAGGAAAAUAAGGGUUGGCAAGGAUAUGGAGAUAUUGGAACCCACAUGCAUUACUGGUGGGAAUGUAAAAUGGGGCGGCCACGUUGGGAAAUAACUUGGCCGUUUCUCAAAAAGUUAAAUGUAGAGUUAACAUAUGCCCUUCCAAUUCUACCCAUGGGUAGAUACCGAAGAAAAAUUGGGAGCGGGGACUCAAACAGGUACGUGCACACCAAUGCUCAGGGUAGAAUUAUUGCGAUACCAAAAAGGUAUGAACAACCCAAAUGUCCACCAUGGGGAUGGGGAGAGACCGCUUAACAGGCUGGCGAUUUCAUUUGGGGGUGAUGAGAAUGUUCUGGAAUUGUAUAGUGGCUGUGGCUGCACAGCCUUGCAAACAUAGUAAAAUGCCACUGAGUCAUAUACUUCAAAAGGGUGAAUUUAGGGAGUGUAGUUAUGUAUCAACCAAAAAGAAAGAAAACGCAAGAGCCGAAAUCACCGUUUCUCUUCCUCUUUCCCCUCUGACACUUCCUGCUCUAUUUCUGACCCUUUCAUGCUCCUGGAUGCUAUCAGAUUUCAGAUCUCUCCAAGAAAACAUUCCUGGCACGCAUUAUGGUCCUAAAGCUGGAGUAGAAAGUCUGCUAAUCCUGAAUAAACACAUUUUCAAAGACUAUUACUUAUUUUGCAAGGACAUUUUGGGAGAUACCUUUAAAAAAAAAAAAAAAAGCUGGUUAUGUCAGCGUCAACUCUAAUGACAGCCCUGAACAAUUUUGGCUCUUUGGAGUAGCUUGUAGGGAGGUUACAAGUUGCAGAAAUUAAAGAUGAGUAAGCACCUAGUUGCCAAUUUACAUUAUAUAUUUGGCCAUUAAAAUCUGAAUGAGCUCCUGUUUUCAUCCAAAGAUGUCAAAAGCUCUAACUUUCACAGGCAUCUCUGAGGAUAGAAUCUUAGCCAAUUCUUCAUGGCAAAGCAGCAUCAGGGAAAAGUAACUGAACGUUCAGCUGUGUUUGAGAAUUUAGAAGUUUUAGCAAGUCCUUUGGUCAUACAUAUUCCCAAAGCACGUGGACCCCACAGCAUAGGGAUCGUGCCGCCCAAACCAGACACACAAGCCCAUCCCCAUUCUUCCCAAAACUUCACCAUAGUGUUUUCAUUAUGUAAAAUGACAAACGAUGCACCUCGUGCUGUCUUACUCAUCAGAUUUUUAUGCACCCAGGAGGAGCUCAGGAGUCAUUGCCCAAGAGAGGCAAUCAUCCUCCCAAUCGCAUUGAGAAAUCAUGCAUCGAGAUGCUUCUUGUGCCUUUUAAUCAAAAAGGAUCCCCUGUCUCAUGAGGUGCUUCCAGACCAUGGCCAAUAGGACCUGGAAAUAAUUUACAGUCUCCUGCAGGUUCCACAGCUGGUACUGAGGUCUGUCUGCCUACUACUCAACUCACAGGUGGGUGAGACUCCUCUUGGGUCCCUUGGUGUAUAGUGCCGAAUCCCACAACUCCCACAAAAGCACUUUUGUUUGUGCAUGGAUGCCACAUUUCUGUUGUUGACAUGGAAGGUUGGUACAAAAAUGAGGGAUGUCUUAUGCUGCCACGAUGCUCAGUUUGGAUUUUCUUAUUUUCUCAACUUGUAGUGGCUCUGCCAUCACCGUUUUCAGCAGAACAAUAUCCAUACAUUUGGUUCUGCUGUAUGGAAUCAGAGUCUCACACUGGGACCUGGAAUUGUCUCAGGAUCUAUGCUGAGUAAGAGGGAAGGUUUUAGGAUUGAUCCUGAAGAGUACAAAGCAACGGGGGUAAAGGGGAGGACCAGGGUUUCCCUAGGGACAUUCUUACCCAUCUCUGUAUUAACCAUAUCUUUUAUUUUCUGUAUUUGAUUCUUUGACAUUUUGGGACCUUGCUGACCCUGGAGAUAUUCUCCUCCCAGGGUAUCUACUUCCUAGAGAUAGGAGACAGCUCCCCCUCAAGCACACCUCUCAAAUGCAACCCAAGCAAUCCAGAACUCACACUCUCGACCACCUCCUCUAUGGCUCCCACACUCUGGACCACUAUUCCCCUGCCCUAAUGACUCCAGGGUCAGAUACGAGACACUCAGGGACAGCCUCUAUACCCCAGAGCCAAUCCUAAGCCUGUUCCUUCCCACAGAAACCACAGUAAAGGUUACUGCCCCAUCUUCUCCCUCCCUCUGCUUCCUGACUAGCCCUGGUGCUUCUCUGUGUGGUCCUGCAUGGCAUCCCCCUCUUGGAAACUCUAACAAACACUUUUUUUUUCCCCAGUGACAAUCACAUCUCCAUCUUUGGUCAUACUUCAAAUUUUCUGUUAAUACCUAUAUUCUAAAACACCCUCCAUCCACACCCACCUCAUUGAUACCCAUCCGGAAUCUCUGAUGAGAACUGGUCACCAAAUUCAGUUCCCAUUCCUGCCUU